rnacentral:rRNA from 1 species
GUCUUAUUGAAAAUAAUUUUAAGUCAAUCUGCCCAAUGAAUAAUUUAUUUUAAUGGCUGCAGUAUAACUAACUGUACAAAGGUAGCAUAAUCAAUUGAUUUUUAAAUGAAAUCUGGAAUGAAAGGAUUAAUGAAAUAUAUACUGUCUCAUAUUUAUUUUAUGAAUUUAAAAUUUUAAUAAAAAUGUUAAAAUUUAUUUAUGGGACGAUAAGACCCUAUAGAAUUUUAUAUUAAAUUAAUUUUAUAAUUAAAUAUAAAAUUUAAUUUAAUAUUUAAUUGGGAGAAUUAUUAAAUUUAAUAAAUUUUAAUUAAUAAAAACUUUAAUUAAAGAAAAUUUAUUGAUUUUUAAUUUAAAAUUAAUAGAUUAAAUUACCUUAGGGAUAACAGCGUAAUAUUUUUUUAUAGAUCUUAUAGAAAAAAAUGAUUGCGACCUCGAUGUUGAAUUAAGAUAAAUUUUAAAUGUAGAAGUUUAAUAAUUAAGUCUGUUCGACUUUUAAAAUCUUACAUGAUUUGAGUUCAAAUCGACGUAAGU